rnacentral:tRNA from 1 species
UCCUCAGUAGCUCAGCGGUAGAGCGAUCGGCUGUUAACCGAUUGGUCGUAGGUUCAAAUCCUUCCUGGGGAGAUU